rnacentral:lncRNA from 1 species
GAGAAUUCAUUAUCUCAAUUGGGGUAGAUUGUGAGGUGAUAAAUCUCGAGGUGGGCUUGGCAUCAGAAAAAUUUGAAAUCAUGGAAAAUCAUAAACAAUCAAAAUUGGCUUAUCCAAGAAACACUGGUUAAAAAAUAUUGUUGCAAUGAAAACUUUUUGCAAUAACGAAACCAGGUAAUUCUUGGGUGUGGAAGAGUAUCAUAAGUGGAAAGGAAAUGAUCAAACAAGGAAUACAAUGGCGAAGGACGAACCGAGUGCGAGACGAGAAAAAUGCUUCGAAAAG